AACGAACGCUGGCGGCAUGCCUAACACAUGCAAGUCGAACAAGACCUUCGGGUCUAGUGGCGCACGGGUGCGUAACGCGUGGGAACCUGCCCUUAGGUUCGGAAUAACUCCCCGAAAGGGGUGCUAAUACCGGAUAAUGUCUUCGGACCAAAGAUUUAUCGCCUUUGGAUGGGCCCGCGUUGGAUUAGCUAGUUGGUAGGGUAAAAGCCUACCAAGGCGACGAUCCAUAGCUGGUCUGAGAGGAUGAUCAGCCACACUGGGACUGAAACACGGCCCAGACUCCUACGGGAGGCAGCAGUGGGGAAUAUUGGACAAUGGGCGAAAGCCUGAUCCAGCAAUGCCGCGUGAGUGAUGAAGGCCUUAGGGUUGUAAAGCUCUUCUACCCGGGAUGAUAAUGACAGUACCGGGAGAAUAAGCUCCGGCUAACUCCGUG
rnacentral:rRNA from 1 species